AGUGGCAGACUGGUGAGUAAUAUGUGAGAAUCUACCUUUUAGUUAAGAAUAUGCUUGGGAAACUGAGUGCAAUACUGUAUAAGUUCUGUAAGGAAGAAAGACGGCCUCUUUGCUGUCGCUGAAAGAUGAGCUCGCAGACUAUUAGUUAGUUGGUGGGGUAAAGGCCUACCAAGACGAUGAUGGUUAGCCGACCUGAGAGGGUGAUCGGCCACAUUGGGACUGAGAUACGGCCCUGACUCCUGCGGGAGGCAGCAGUGGGGAAUUUUGCGCAAUGGACGAAAGUCUGACGCAGCAACGCCGCGUGGAGGAAGAAGGUCUUUGGAUCGUAAACCUCUGUUAAUUGGGAAGAAAGAAUUCAUUUUAAUAGAGUGAAUUUAUGACGUUACCGGUAGAGAAAGUCCCGGCUAACUUCGUGCCAGCAGCCGCGGUAAUACGAAGGGGACGAGCGUUAUUCGGAAUGAUUGGGUGUAAAGGGCGUGUAGGCGGUGCGAUAAGUUUGUUGUUUAAUUCUUUGGCCUAACCAAAGGCGUGCGACGAAUACUGUUGUGCUAGAGUUUGAAAGAGAAAAGUGGAAUUCUCGGAGUAGCGGUUAAAUGCGUAGAUCUCGAGAGGAACGCCAAUGGCGAAGGCAGCUUUUUGGUUCAAUACUGACGCUAAGGCGCGAAGGCGUGGGGAGCGAACAGGAUUAGAUACCCUGUAG
rnacentral:rRNA from 1 species